UUACUCUGCUGUUUAGGGUGUUUGACUCCCAGCCAAAAGAUACUGGGUUCAAUCCCCAGUGUCUGCCA